GACGAACCGUGCGAACGUUGUUCGGAAUCACUGGGCUUAAAGGGCGCGUAGGCGGCUUGCCAAGUCAGGGGUGAAAUCCUGCAGCUUAACUGUAGAAGGGCCUUUGAUACUGGCGAGCUCGAGGGAGGUAGGGGUAUGUGGAACUUCCGGUGGAGCGGUGAAAUGCGUUGAUAUCGGAAGGAACGCCGGUGGCGAAAGCGACGUACUGGACCUCUUCUGACGCUGAGGCGCGAAAGCUAGGGGAGCAAACGGG
rnacentral:rRNA from 1 species